GACGAACGCUGGUGGCGUGCUUAACACAUGCAGGUCGAACGGGAUUUAGUAAACAGAAGCCUCGGUGGAAGAUUACUAAUGAGAGUGGCGAACGGGUGAGUAACGCGUGAGCAACCUGCCUAUGACAGUGGGAUAGCCUCGGGAAACCGGGAUUAAUACCGCAUAAAAUCGUCGAAACACAUGUUUUAACGGUCAAAGAUUUAUCGGUCAUAGAUGGGCACGCGUCUGAUUAGCUAGUUGGUGAGAUAACAGCCCACCAAGGCGACGAUCAGUAGCCGGUCUGAGAGGAGGAACGGCCACAUUGGAACUGAGACACGGUCCAAACUCCUACGGGAGGCAGCAGUGGGGAAUAUUGCACAAUGGGGGAAAACCUGAUGCAGCGACGCCGCGUGAACGAAGAAGGUAUUCGUAUCGUAAAGUUCUGUCCUAUGGGAAGAUAAUGACAGUACCAUAGAAGAAAGCUCCGGCUAAAUACGUG
rnacentral:rRNA from 1 species